GCAAAAUUAGUCUUCUGGAAAUAUUUGGGCACUUUUAGCCCUUCCUAGAGACAGAGGGAUGAGUUCAUGUACCUCUCCGGUGUGGCUUGCAGUGUCCAGAUCAUGUGAUCAUGGGCGCUGGACCCAGUUUCAGCAGUUAACGGGCGCAGUGGAAUCCCAAGGAGAAAGUGGACUGGGGAAUUGCUGCGUGAGUCAAGGCGUGUUGUCAUUUUGAGAAGAACAGGGGGGAAGAGAGUGGUCACAGUGUGGAGGCCGUGGAGGGAAGGAGUUAACGGGCGGUUACUAUGUGGACGUCAAAGCGCUCCUGUGACAAAGGACUUCAAGGCGGGCACCCAGACCCAGAGCCUAACAGUAUAUAAUUAAAAGGAGAACAACUGGGCUCUGACUUGGUCAAGAUAAACAGACUGUAAUUUCCUAGCUGUGGAGUUCCUUAAUGAACACUAGCAAGACACUCAUGGGCGGGACCAGACUGCCCACAAAUAAAUGAACAUCACCCAUCAGCCAUUGCAAAUCCAAGAGCCAGACCAGCACAAAGACCGUCAUGAGGCACGAGGCACUCCACCCCUCCACUGAGGAUCCCAAACUUUCCCCCCAUCUAGAUGAUCUCCUACAAAGGAGACAGGCACAGGACAACUGUCUUGAUGAAGAGUUAAUUUUUGAUUUGACUGAAUGCUUACCUAACCCAAUUGUUUUCACUAGAAAGAAAAUGUCUAAAAGGAAAUAUCAUGAUAUACCUUGAAUUAUAAAAUUGAAGCUUUGUUCCUCAUCCCAAUUACCUUCACUGGGUGAAUUGAGGGCUCAGGAAAAUCUUGUCAGUUAGAGAUAAAAAAAAAAAAAGCCACACAUUCUUUGCAUAGCUGUAUAAUGAUAAAUUUUCUGCCUUACAACCAUAGCAGAUAAAUCAUCCUUUACCUCCUAACUAGUUCUGAAUUAAAAUCUACAGCCAAUCUGAAAUCAACCUAAUUAAUCAAUCUUCAUGUGUUCCUUCACAUUGAUCAUUAUAGGGAUAGGAUAGAGUUUCAACCCUACCCGUGGUGUUAGAGCCUAAACUUCUGAGAAAAGUUAUGUAGACAGGCAAAAUAAGCUUUUGUAAUGAUGGAAAUUUUAGCUGUCAGCAUAACUAGCCAUGUAUUCAACACAAAAAUAUGUAUGUAGAAAAAAAAGAUAUACACACAGUUUAUUCUCCUUUCUUCUUCUCCCAUGGUCCCAAGGAAUUCAGACAUACUUUCCUCUGUAGUCACCAUGCAGUCAACCAAUAUCCAAAGUGUAAACUGACACCAUGAAGUAUUUCCAAAUGGAACACUGACCAAAAAUAUGGCUGUGUAAUAAGUUAAAAAAAAAAUUUAAAGUAAAAAGUACCAAUCAGGAUAUCCUUUAAUAAACAUAAUACUUCUGAAUGAAAAUAUUUUCUCUGAAAGCAAUGUGAAAUACCUUGUUUCUAUUAAUGGAAUUUUCUUCCUUUAUGUCUGUCUGGGAAUGACUAGUUCAAUGUCAACCUUAAUAGGACCUCAGCUUUUGCAUUGAUCAUGUAAUAAAGGAAUUUAACUUUAUUAGAUGUUAUUUGCUCGAUCUAAUUACUAUUUUUGAA